rnacentral:rRNA from 1 species
UACAGAGGGGGCAAGCGUUGUUCGGAAUUACUGGGCGUAAAGGGCGCGUAGGCGGCCUUCUAAGUCAGACGUGAAAUCCCCGGGCUCAACCCGGGAACUGCGUCUGAUACUGGAAGGCUUGAAUCCGGGAGAGGGAUGUGGAAUUCCUGGUGUAGCGGUGGAAUGCGCAGAUAUCAGGAGGAACACCGGUGGCGAAGGCGGAUCUCUGGGCCAUAACUGACGCUGAGGAGCGAAAGCAUGGGGAGCGAACAGG